rnacentral:rRNA from 1 species
GACCUCAAAUCAGGUAGGACUACCCGCUGAACUUAAGCAUAUCAAUAAGCGGAGGAAAAGAAACUAACAAGGAUUCCCCUAGUAACUGCGAGUGAAGCGGGAAAAGCUCAAAUUUAAAAUCUGGUAGUCUCUGGCUGCCCGAGUUGUAAUCUAGAGAAGCGUUAUCCGCGCUGGACCGUGUAUAAGUCUCCUGGAAUGGAGCGUCAUAGAGGGUGAGAAUCCCGUCUUCGACACGGACUCCCAGGGCUUUGUGAUGCGCUCUCAAAGAGUCGAGUUGUUUGGGAAUGCAGCUCUAAAUGGGUGGUAAAUUCCAUCUAAAGCUAAAUAUUGGCGAGAGACCGAUAGCGAACAAGUACCGUGAGGGAAAGAUGAAAAGAACUUUGGAAAGAGAGUUAAACAGUACGUGAAAUUGUUGAAAGGGAAACGCUUGAAGUCAG